rnacentral:rRNA from 1 species
CAGGCCUAACACAUGCAAGUCGAACGGUGAUGCAGAGCUUGCUCUGCGGAUCAGUGGCGAACGGGUGAGUAACACGUGAGUAACCUGCCCCUGACUCCGGGAUAAGCGUUGGAAACGACGUCUAAUACUGGAUACGACCCGUGGAGGCAUCUCCUGCGGGUGGAAAGAAUUUCGGUUGGGGAUGGACUCGCGGCCUAUCAGCUUGUUGGUGAGGUAAUGGCUCACCAAGGCGACGACGGGUAGCCGGCCUGAGAGGGUGACCGGCCACACUGGGACUGAGACACGGCCCAGACUCCUACGGGAGGCAGCAGUGGGGAAUAUUGGACAAUGGGCGCAAGCCUGAUCCAGCAAUGCCGCGUGAGUGAUGAAGGCCUUAGGGUUGUAAAGCUCUUUUACCCGGGAUGAUAAUGACAGUACCGGGAGAAUAAGCCCCGGCUAACUCCGUGCCAGCAGCCGCGGUAAU